GGCUAGAGUUUGAUCAUGGCUCAGGACGAACGCUGGCGGCGUGCCUAAUACAUGCAAGUCGAACGAAACUUUCUUACACCGAAUGCUUGCAUUCACCGUAAGAAGUUGAGUGGCGGACGGGUGAGUAACACGUGGGUAACCUGCCUAAAAGAAGGGGAUAACACUUGGAAACAGGUGCUAAUACCGUAUAUCUCUAAGGAUCGCAUGAUCCUUAGAUGAAAGAUGGUUCUGCUAUCGCUUUUAGAUGGACCCGCGGCGUAUUAACUAGUUGGUGGGGUAACGGCCUACCAAGGUGAUGAUACGUAGCCGAACUGAGAGGUUGAUCGGCCACAUUGGGACUGAGACACGGCCCAAACUCCUACGGGAGGCAGCAGUAGGGAAUCUUCCACAAUGGACGCAAGUCUGAUGGAGCAACGCCGCGUGAGUGAAGAAGGUCUUCGGAUCGUAAAACUCUGUUGUUAGAGAAGAACACGAGUGAGAGUAACUGUUCAUUCGAUGACGGUAUCUAACCAGCAAGUCACGGCUAACUACGUGCCAGCAGCCGCGGUAAUACGUAGGUGGCAAGCGUUGUCCGGAUUUAUUGGGCGUAAAGGGAACGCAGGCGGUCUUUUAAGUCUGAUGUGAAAGCCUUCGGCUUAACCGGAGUAGUGCAUUGGAAACUGGAAGACUUGAGUGCAGAAGAGGAGAGUGGAACUCCAUGUGUAGCGGUGAAAUGCGUAGAUAUAUGGAAGAACACCAGUGGCGAAAGCGGCUCUCUGGUCUGUAACUGACGCUGAGGUUCGAAAGCGUGGGUAGCAAACAGGAUUAGAUACCCUGGUAGUCCACGCCGUAAACGAUGAAUGCUAGUGUUGGAGGGUUUCCGCCCUUCAGUG
rnacentral:rRNA from 1 species